GCCAGCAUGGCAUAGUGGUUUGAGUGUUGGACUGUGACUCUGGAGACCAGGGUUCGAUUCCCAUUCAACCA